rnacentral:rRNA from 1 species
AGGACGAACGCUGGCGGCGUGCUUAACACAUGCAAGUCGAGCGGUAAGGCCUUUCGGGGUACACGAGCGGCGAACGGGUGAGUAACACGUGGGUGAUCUGCCCUGCACUUCGGGAUAAGCCUGGGAAACUGGGUCUAAUACCGGAUAUGACCUCAGGUUGCAUGACGUUGGGGGUGGAAAGUAUUUAUCGGUGCAGGAUGGGCCCGCGGCCUAUCAGCUUGUUGGUGGGGUAAUGGCCUACCAAGGCGACGACGGGUAGCCGACCUGAGAGGGUGACCGGCCACACUGGGACUGAGACACGGCCCAGACUCCUACGGGAGGCAGCAGUGGGGAAUAUUGCACAAUGGGCGAAAGCCUGAUGCAGCGACGCCGCGUGAGGAUGACGGCCUUCGGGUGUAAACCUCUUUCAGCAGGGACGAAGCGUCAAGGUGACGUACCUGACAGAAGAAGCACCGGCUAACUACGUGACCCGAGCACGCCC